rnacentral:rRNA from 1 species
UACGUAGGAGGCAAGCGUUGUCCGGAAUUACUGGGCGUAAAGCGCGUGUAGGUGGUGGGACAAGUCUGCUGUGAAAGCGCCUGGCUUAACCGGGCGAGGUCGGCGGAAACUGUCCGACUAGAGGACGGUAGAGGGGGGUGGAAUUCCCGGUGUAGUGGUGAAAUGCGUAGAGAUCGGGAGGAACACCAGUGGCGAAGGCGACUAUCUGGGCUGCAACUGACGCUGAGGCGCGAAGGCUAGGGUAGCAAACAGG